UGUCUGCGUCGUGCCUUGUGUAUACACAGGUGUCAAGUACCUUCAGUUAAGGAGUUUCUUCCAGAAGGACAAGAGGCAGAGUCUGUAGACACUUCGUUCACUGUUCAAACCCCUGUGGAGGAGUUCAAGUCCUCUUCACCUCUACAGGAGGAACCAGAGCCUGAACCUGAGCCUGAGCCUGAGGAGCUUCAAGAGGAGGAGGAGCCCAGGGACUCAAGUGAAGCCGAAGAAGAACCUGAGCCGAUCACUCAGCAACCUCAGUCCAUUACCAGCGCCUCUGUCUCACGAACUGAUUCACCGGUGGAGAGUACAGCUCCUGAAGAGGAAAGCAGUGUCCCUUCCAGAUGUG
rnacentral:lncRNA from 12 species